AAGCCGUAACAAGGUUUCCGUAGGUGAAGCUGCGGAAGGAUCAUUAACACGUCCAACGUUAAACCCCCUGUGAACUUUCAUCGUGCUCUUGCAUCCGAGGAACAGCAAUCCUGAGUCGCAACAGAUGUUAUUGAUUCAGGACCUCUGCCCAAAAUGUGAGAUUGAGCGCUCGAGGCAAGUGGCCUAGCUUCCCCAAGCAACCAAGUGUUCUUAAAGUGUCACUGACUGUGCGAGGAUAACGGAAACAACCAGUAGUUAGCGUUUGUCUCCUCGACACAGCAAGUGCGCCGUCGCGGGGAAAAACGAACAAACAGUUAACAAUGGAUAUCUUGGUUCUC
rnacentral:misc_RNA from 1 species